rnacentral:lncRNA from 1 species
UAAAUUCAUUAAGUAGAUGGAUAAGUAUAAAUUGCAACAAUAUAUUGAACAAUGGAACACAAUAAGCUAAAAUUAAGGUGGCACGUAUUGGACAUUCUUUGGAGCAGAGAUGGAAAGUUAUGUCAACAGAAAUGUCAAUGUUAGAAAUACUAAACGAAUAAAGCAUGUAGCUAUGCUGUAGCAUAAAAACAGAAAGUAGAAAGACUUUUGGUCUUCUUUCCAUGUUUUGCCCUCCAACCAAAUCAAAGUGCUACCACGUGCCCUCUCUUUUGCCCGUCCAUCUCCUUUUAAUAUCCAAAAUUUCCAUAAAACAAAACCUUCAUAUCUUUGAUUGAUUGAGAGAGAGAGAGAUGGAUCCACCACAGCUACAUGCCAUAGACACCUCCAGCAAAAGCUAUCCCCCAAUUGAAGACGAGCAAGACAAAAUUGUCGACCAAUGGUAUUUUGCUCCUUUCUACUUACUACGAUUAAUUCUGUUUAAUAUUUUUCUGACUGUUUUAAUUAGACCGAUUCGGUUUACUCAAAUCUCUUUGUUGUUUUUAUUGUUUUUCUGCAAUUGUUCUUGCUUUUACGACUGUACUGAUAGCCUUUUGGAGUACUUGUGCUGCUAUGCGUUCUGGUGUUCCUAGGGAUACAUAUUAAGGAGACUUGUUAUUAGAUGAAUUAAUUAUGUUCUUCCGCUUUUGGCAUUUUGCACGGCAUUACUCGAUUUACAUAGAAAAUUUAGUCUUUCUAUACUGAAAAUUUAUAAUGAGAUUGUCGUGGCUUCUUAUUAGGUUAUAAUGAUCUUUUUCCAAUUAUAUGCAUGCCUAUGGUUCAUAAAGUUAUAUGCUAGAAAGAAUUUGAACCCUUUUUGAUCGUGCACUAAUCAAUUUUGAUAAUCAAAGAGGCGUUGGUUCUAUUCUGAUAAAAAGUUUGUGUUUCAGUUGUGAGUAAAGUAAAGGGAAGUUGACAAAUGACAACUAGUCAUAAAUUAUUGAAGAAUGGUCAGGAAUUUUCUCCCCUUCUACCUAGUGCCCUAAUCUUGAAGUGAUACUGGUCUGUACAUCCAAUGGCAUUCUGGCCUAAAGUGUUGGUGGAGCCCUAUAUACCACUUUGAUUGAUCCUGGGAUUGUGUCGAAUAGAUUUACAUCAAGAGACUUUUUUUUUUCACAAGCUCGAUUACUCUAAUGAUACCGACAAUGAUUUUUUCCCUUGUUUUAGCGCCGUUAUUUUACAUUGCGUGCCACCAGAAAAAUUGCUCUUGAUCAAAUUUCACAUGCCUAAAUUCUUUUCUUUGACACCUGCAAAUACUACGUAAUAUUGUAAUGUAGCAUUCUCCUUUUUUGCCUUUUUUCAAAAGAAAAACUUGAUUAUUAUUAAUGUACAGUACUUGACCUUUUACGACCCAAGGAAAGAGGCUUGGGGUUGGGGUUGGGGUUGUGGAUAGUCUUAUGUAGCACGAAUUAUGUCCGCGAAGUGGGAUGCGGAUACGAAUAUACAAAAAGUUUUUUAAGUAUUAAAGGAUAAUGAUAUAGGGUUAAAAUUUAAAAAGGUCUAAAAAUGUUAUUCAACUUACAAAAAGCGUUAGCUACACUCUGGUGAAGCAGUUUAGAAAGUAGUAUUACCUUCCAUGUUAUAGGUGCAAUUAGAUUAGCCAAGUUCACCUCAGUAGAAAUCUGAUUGAUGCUUUGAACCACCAACCACUUGAACAAACAUGGUAAUCCAGAUUUUACGGUCAUUGCCGUCUUCAAGAAGCCUUAAAAGUGAUUGCAAUGAAGAUGGUAGAAGUCUAUGAGGCGCAUAAACAGUGUGCCUCUCACAUAACUUUAUAAGCAAUCAAAAUAGAGUAACCUUUCCAACAACGAGGAAAAAAUAUGGUUUUUGUGAUAUGGGGAAGAUGACUGGAAAGGGGGGAUUUGGAAUGGAUUGGGUUGGGUUUAGUUGGGGUUGGGUUAAUUAAUGAGGUAAUAAGUUAAUCGGGGUUGGGUUUGGGUUAAUCGACAUAACCCAGAUUUAAAUAAUAUGGGGCAUGGGUUAAUUUGGAGAAAUGAGAACAUUACGCGUGAAAUUCUGGGAUUUAAAAAAAUUUAAAAAAAGAAUUUUAUGCCGUUAGUUCAUUAAUGGCAUAGUUAAACCAUAUGAGUAAUGAUAGUGGUAUGGAAUUAGCAUUUUCUUAACGAAUGACAUGGAUAAGUUUUUUCUGAAAGUUAGAGUAAUAUUUUUAGGAUUUUUCCAUUUAAAAAUCCAUAGAUUGUCUAUAUUAGAUACCUAAAAUACUGCAAGAAGUAGUAAAAUCAAAAAUAAAAUCCAUAAAAUACAACAACAGUCACUGAGUGAGAUGAAAGAACAAAAACAACCAAUCCAAUCAGGCAGCAACGAAGGUUACAUUUUCAUUGUCAAAUGGAGCUCUUUUUUCCUUCUCUUCUUUGAUGGACAGAAUUAUUCGAUAUUUAUUUCGAUAGAAAAUACUAUAUGAAGUACGCAAUAAAAUAAUUAAAAUGAGCACGAACAAACCCGUAUUUCGAGUUCAUAUUUGGACCAUAUUUUUUUCAAGUUGAAUACAUUGAGUGACCAAAUAUUGGAUAUUCAUGUCCGAAUAAGAGGACAAUACAUAUCAAUUAAAAGAAAAGACAAUCUGAAAAAUUCGUCAAAUCAUGAACCGGCACACCAAUACGUAGCAGUACAAUUGGUGACUGGGCUUAGCAGUUGACUUGCAAACUAAGAUGAUAUGGAUAUAUGCAUUAUAUUAAUUUGAGAUUUUUGCCUAUACAUCCCAUAUAGCAAACUUUAUUACUAUUAUUGUAUCUUAUUUGGUUAUUACCCUCAUAUUCCAUGUUUUAGUUACCAAUAAUGUACCAAACGAAAAUUUGCUGAUCUUUCACCUUACAAUAACGCCAUUUAUUAAGGCUCAACAGAUUGUUAAAUAUUUUGUUGCCUAAAAUAGCGCCUGUAUUUAAGGCUCCCAAUUAAUCUUUGAUUUUGUACCAAUUAAAUGCUCAAUCAAAAACGGUAAAAUCUCAUAUACAACGUGAAUCUCACGAAAUCAAUCUGAUUUUGUAGCCUACAAUAGCGCCUGUUUUUAAGGCUCCCAACGAUAUUAGCUAUUUUGUAGCCUAAAAUAACGCCUGUUUUUAAGGCUCCCAAUUAAUCUUUGAUUCUAUACCAAUUUAAAUGGUCAAUCAAAAACGGUAAAAUCUCUUAACCAGCGUGAAUCUCUCCAGUUUUCUGUUNNNNNNNNNNNNNNNNNNNNNNNNNNNNNNNNNNNNNNNNNNNNNNNNNNNNNNNNNNNNNNNNNNNNNNNNNNNNNNNNNNNNNNNNNNNNNNNNNNNNNNNNNNNNNNNNNNNNNNNNNNNNNNNNNNNNNNNNNNNNNNNNNNNNNNNNNNNNNNNNNNNNNNNNNNNNNNNNNGAUUUUGUAGUUCUUCCAGAUUUCUGUUUCGAAAAUCUUUCAUUUUUCUACAUCAAAUACUGAAAAUCAGAAUUUACAGCGUGAUAGUCAAUAAAAUUGCAGUUCUUCCAGAUUUCAGUUUCGGAAAUAACUCAUUCUCCUACAAUAGAUAAGUUAUUGAAGGCAAAGGGUAUUUUCGCAUUACUUGGGCACAAAUUCAACAAAGAAUUGGAAGAUAACAAUACAUUAUCCCAGAAACUAAAGGUAAUAUAUUCUUGUUUGGUGCAGGAAAAAAAANNNGAUUUUGUAGUUCUUCCAGAUUUCUGUUUCGAAAAUCUUUCAUUUUUCUACAUCAAAUACUGAAAAUCAGAAUUUACAGCGUGAUAGUCAAUAAAAUUGCAGUUCUUCCAGAUUUCAGUUUCGGAAAUAACUCAUUCUCCUACAAUAGAUAAGUUAUUGAAGGCAAAGGGUAUUUUCGCAUUACUUGGGCACAAAUUCAACAAAGAAUUGGAAGAUAACAAUACAUUAUCCCAGAAAUUAAAGGUAACAUAUUCUUGUUUGGUGCAGGAAAAAAAAAACUGGUAAAAUAGUAGCUGUUGCAGUGUUUCCAGUGUGUUUUUAAAAUUGUAGUCAAAUGUGGGUAAAUGUAGUUAAUGUUUAUAUGGAGUGUUUCCAGUGUGUUUUUAAAAUGUAGUCAAAUGUGGAUAAAUGUAGUUAAAGUUUAUAUGCAGUAUUUCUAGUGUGUUUUUAAAAAUGUGGGUAAAUAUAGUUAACGUUUAUAUGCAGUUUGUUUGUAGCUGAUUUGUAGUUAACUGAUUGCUGCUAACAUAGUUAACUUAUUGACACCUUAUUAUUUUCUUUUUGGUCUUGAAUUGUAGGUGAGAGCUUCAACAGAUCAUAUACACACUGUGUUAGAUUGUNN